GUUGUUGUGUCCUCUUUGGCUGAGGGCGUUGCCGUCGUUUACGGCAUGUGCGGAAGCCCUUAUUCGCUAUUAGGGGCAAGCAAGUUAGCAAGCGAACGAAGAAGCGAAUGAUUGGGCAUGCAAGAAACGGGUGUUGCGCUAGCUAGUAGACGCGAAGACCAUGCGGGUCAAUUCAGACAAAUCCGUGGAAAAGGAGCAAAGAAGAUUAUUAAGACGUGAAGGAAUUUUGCAAGGUCUGUCUAAACAAGUUUUGUUGGCCAUUGAACGCUCUCAUCGUAUGAGUGCUUCGUUCGUAUAGUGAUGUAUGCGGAAGGAAACGAAGGGGCAAGCGACCACGCGCAGCGCGUAAGCGGAUUUUGGAACUGUCAAGCGUGCAUUCUCUUUCGGAUAAACACAACACUUAUAGCCACCGGAAGUUACCCGAAAUGCGGAUGUUCUGCAUUUUAAAGCUCAAAU